ACUAAGUUUCAACAACGGAUCUCUUGGCUCUCGCAUCGAUGAAGAACGUUGCGAAAUGCGAUAAGUAAUGUGAAUUGCAGAAUUCAGUGAAUCAUCGAAUCUUUGAACGCACCUUGCGCUCCUUGGUAUUCCUUGGAGCAUGCCUGUUUGAGUAUCAUGAAAU
rnacentral:rRNA from 1 species